rnacentral:rRNA from 1 species
AUUGAACGCUGGCGGCAGGCCUAACACAUGCAAGUCGAACGAGUGGCGGACGGGUGAGUAAUGUCUGGGAAACUGCCUGAUGGAGGGGGAUAACUACUGGAAACGGUAGCUAAUACCGCAUACCAUCGGAUGUGCCCAGAUGGGAUUAGCUAGUAGGUGGGGUAAAGGCUCACCAAGGCGACGAUCCCUAGCUGGUCUGAGAGGAUUACCAGCCACCCUGGAACUGAGGCACGGUCCAGACUCCGACGGGAGGCAGCAUGGGGGAAUAUUGCACAAUGGGCUCAAGCCUGAUGCAGCCAUGCCGCGUGUAUGAAGAAGGCCUUCGGGUUGUAAAGUACUUUCAGCGGGGAGGCGUUACCCGCAGAAGAAGCACCGGCUAACUCCGUGCCAGCAGCCGCGGUAAUUC